UACGUAGGGUGCAAGCGUUAAUCGGAAUUACUGGGCGUAAAGCGUGCGCAGGCGGUUAUGCAAGACAGAUGUGAAAUCCCCGGGCUCAACCUGGGAACUGCAUUUGUGACUGCAUGACUAGAGUACGGCAGAGGGGGAUGGAAUUCCGCGUGUAGCAGUGAAAUGCGUAGAUAUGCGGAGGAACACCGAUGGCGAAGGCAGCCCCCUGGGUCAAGAUUGACGCUCAUGCACGAAAGCGUGGGGAGCAAACAGG
rnacentral:rRNA from 1 species